GCUGGGCAUGGUGGCGGGUGCCUGUAAUCCCAGCUACUCAGGAGGCUGAGGCGGGAGAAUCGCUUGAACCCAGGAAGUGGAGGUUGCAGUGAGCCGAGAUCAUGCCACUGCACUCCAGCCUGGGUGACAGAGCAAGACCCUGUCUCAA
rnacentral:SRP_RNA from 1 species